rnacentral:rRNA from 1 species
CACGCCGUAAACGAUGAAUACUAGGUGUGGGGGUUUCGACACCUCCGUGCCGCCGUUAACACAUUAAGUAUUCCGCCUGGGGAGUNCAACGCGAAGAACCUUACCUAGACUUGACAUCUCCUGAAUUACUCUUAAUAGAGGAAGUCCCUUCGGGGACAGGAAGACAGGUGG